UGGGGCCUUAGCUCAGUUGGGAGAGCGCCUGCUUUGCACGCAGGAGGUCAGCGGUUCGAUCCCGCUAGGCUCCAU
rnacentral:tRNA from 1 species